rnacentral:tRNA from 1 species
GAGCGAGUGGCGAAAUCCGGUAAACGCAGCGGACUUAAAAUCCGCCACCCCCCAGGGUUUGUGGGUUCGAAUCCCACCUCGCUCA